CAUGGGGCCGAAGCUCUCCUCCGACGGACAGACAGACCCGGCUGCCUGGAUGGAUCAGAGGACACCUCCACUCCGU
rnacentral:pre_miRNA from 1 species